UACGAAGGGGGCUAGCGUUGCUCGGAAUCACUGGGCGUAAAGCGCACGUAGGCGGAUUGCUAAGUCAGGGGUGAAAUCCUGGAGCUCAACUCCAGAACUGCCUUUGAUACUGGCGACCUUGAGUCCGGGAGAGGUGAGUGGAACUGCGAGUGUAGAGGUGAAAUUCGUAGAUAUUCGCAAGAACACCGGUGGCGAAGGCGGCGAGCUGGUCCAUUACUGACGCUGAGGCGCGACAGCGUGGG
rnacentral:rRNA from 1 species